rnacentral:tRNA from 1 species
GGGCCGUUGGCACAGUUGGUUAGCGCGUCUGCUUUACACGCAGAAGGCCGCAGGUUCGAGUCCUGCACGGCCCA